UACUCGAGUGGCGAACGGGUGAGUAACACGUGGGUGAUCUGCCCUGCACUUCGGGAUAAGCCUGGGAAACUGGGUCUAAUACCGGAUAGGAGCCAUUUUUAGUGUGAUGGUUGGAAAGUUUUUUCGGUGUAGGAUGAGCUCGCGGCCUAUCAGCUUGUUGGUGGGGUAAUGGCCUACCAAGGCGGCGACGGGUAGCCGGCCUGAGAGGGUGGACGGCCACAUUGGGAACUGAGAUACGGCCCAG
rnacentral:rRNA from 1 species